rnacentral:rRNA from 1 species
CGACUUAGCGGCGGACGGGUGAGUAACGCGUGGGUAACCUGCCUUACACUGGGGGAUAACAGUUAGAAAUGACUGCUAAUACCGCAUAAGCGCACAGGGUCGCAUGGUCUGGUGUGAAAAACUCCGGUGGUGUAAGAUGGACCCGCGUCUGAUUAGGUAGUUGGUGGGGUAACGGCCCACCAAGGCGACGAUCCAUAGCCGGCCUGAGAGGGUGAACGGCCACAUUGGGACUGAGACACGGCCCAGACUCCUACGGGAGGCAGCAUG